CGGGUGAGUAAUGCGUGACCAACCUGCCCCAUGCUCCAGAAUAGCUCUUGGAAACGGGUGGUAAUGCUGGAUGCUCCAACUUGACGCAUGUCUUGUUGGGAAAGUGUUUAGUGGCAUGGGAUGGGGUCGCGUCCUAUCAGCUUGUAGGCGGGGUAAUGGCCCACCUAGGCUUCGACGGGUAGCCGGCCUGAGAGGGCGGACGGCCACAUUGGGACUGAGAUACGGCCCAGACUCCUACGGAAGGGCAGCAGUG
rnacentral:rRNA from 1 species